AAGUCGUAACAAGGUUUCCGUAGGUGAACCUGCGGAAGGAUCAUUACAGAGUAAACUUGGUGGGUUGUUGCUGGCUCUCAAUUGAGCAUGUGCACGCCUGUCAUCUUUAUCUUUCCACCAUGUGCACUUUUUGUAGGUCUGGAUUGGACAAUAAGCCUAGCCCCUUGUGGGUUAUUGGAAAGUUGCUGAUUACAUCGGCUCUUUCUGUUACUGGCUGUUUCUUCCUAGGCUUCUACGAUUUAUCUAUAUACACCAUGUAUGUCAAUGAACGCAAUCAAUGGGCCUUUAAAAGCCUAUAAACAUAUAAUACAACUUUCAGCAACGGAUCUCUUGGCUCUC
rnacentral:misc_RNA from 1 species